UAAUACUUUUUUGUCUCGUAGUCGUGCCCAUUCCUCUCGUGCCCAUUCCUCUCGCUCGUUGAGGCUCUACGCAAGUCCACGCGCGAUCGCAAUAUUAAAAGAAAACAAAAAUGAAACAUUUUUGUUUCGGAGCUUCAAAAUCCGAGGCCCCGCGCUCGGAGCGGCGCCGCAUGGCGAGCGCAGCGGUCGAUUCGUGCAUCUUUUGCCCCAUCGCGCGCGGAUCCACCUCCACCACCCUCCUCUACGCUGAUGAGAAAGUGGUCGCUUUCCCCGAUGUCAACCCAUCCGCGUUCAGGCAUUAUCUCGUCAUACCUGUAGAGCACAUAUCAACUGUGAACCAUCUCCAAAGAACAGCAGAAGAUUAUCAGUUAGUUAAUCACAUGUUGAGGGUGGGCAAAGAUCUUCUAAGGCGGGAUGCGCCUGAUUCUGUGCAAUACAGAUUUGGUUUCCAUCAACCACCUUUUAACAGUGUUAAUCAUCUGCAUCUUCACUGUUUAGCCCUGCCAUUCAUUCCAAGUUGGAGGAAAGUAAAAUAUAUGCCUUUGGGACCGUUUAGAGGUUUUAUAGAGGCUGAAAAGUUGUUGAACCGGAUAAAACCACAAUCAGUACUCAACUUGUAGUUACAACAUCAACCACAUGCUGCAUAAAACUGGUAAAACUUACCCUUCAUAUGCCAUUCAUUGCGGGUUUGUACACUAUAUUUAAAACCACAAUCCGCUCUCACUUUGUAGUUACAGCAUCAACCAUAUGCUGCGUGAAACUGGUAACAUUUUAGCCUUCAUACACCAUUCAUUGUGGGAAACUGAUGCUGGUGACCUCUGUUUCAAUGUUUGAAGAACCAUUAAUGUAUCAAUCAACUAUUUCGUAAGCCUAGAAAGCUGCUGCUAUGUUUCUGUUCAACUACAUUUGAUCUUUGCCCAAGGAACACUGAUGAUGAAAUUUUGCUUGCGUUUUGUCGGGCCUGUUUAGCCUAGCUGGACAAUUUAGUGUUGUUUCAUUUGAGUUGUUUGAAGAUGCAGUAAUAAACUUUUCGUCAAAAAUUCUUGGGACGGCUUAUUAUUUAAGUUUUAAAUUAGAUCCGUUGCUUUUGGGGCAUAGAA